rfam:Felis catus isolate Cinnamon breed Abyssinian chromosome E1, whole genome shotgun sequence.
GCCUGGGUGGCUCAGUCGGUUGAGCGUCCGACUUCAGCUCAGGUCACGAUCUCGCGGUCCGUGAGUUCGAGUCCCGCAUCGGGCU